GUUACAGGAAGGAUAAGUUUACUUAUUUUUUCCACCUCCCUCUGUUUUUUCCUCUAUCCUAAUUUCCUUCCUCCCAAUUUGCUGUCGUUCUAAUUUAUUUCCAUCCUUUGAGGGAUAACGGCUAACGGUGAUCUGCCACCACGAUCUCAAUGUAUCUCCCGCCCCCUUUCUCCGGACUAAAUUGAAAACAGCUUUCAAACACUCCACACAGCGCAAUGCAGUCAGACUCCCUUUCUUGCAAAAACCUUUGCUGGUCAUACUCCGUCUCCACUCCACCCACUACCCAUUUGACAAAAAUCCUCAAAGAACUUUGCUUUCACUCAGACUCACAACUUCUCACUAUCCAGUCAUCGAAAUUGAGUUCCGACUUGGUGCCAGUGGGCAUCCAGAGGCAACCAAAGAAGGACUUGUCCCGGAUUCUGAGAACGGAUGCUGCUAUAAAGGCUAUAGAACAAAAAGCCAAUUCCAAGAAGUAUAAUAGGCUUUGGCCUAAGGCUGUUUUGGAGUCUCUUGAUGACGCGAUAAGGGAUAACCGUUGGGAAUCUGCUCUUAAGAUUUUCGAGCUUCUCCGUAACCAACACUGGUAUGAGCCACGAUGCCGAACAUACACAAAGUUAUUGAUGAUGCUUGGAAAGUGCAGGCAACCUGAGGAGGCUUGUUUUCUUUUUGAGAUCAUGCAGUCUGAAGGCCUCCAACCCACUGUUGAUGUUUACACUGCUCUUGUAAGUGCUUAUGGAGAAAGUGGCCAACUUGACAAGGCAUUUUCUAUUGUUGAUGAUAUGAAAUCAGUCUCUGACUGCAAACCAGAUGUGUAUACAUAUUCUGUCCUUGUAAAUUUUUGCACUAAACUCCUUCGUUUUGAUCUGAUUGGAAGAAUUCUUGCUGAGAUGUCAUAUCUGGGAGUUGAAUGCAGCAGUGUAACAUUUAACACUAUUAUCAACGGAUAUGGUAAGGCUAAAAUGUUUGAAGAAAUGGAGAACUCAUUGACAGAUAUGAUUGAAAGCGGCAGCUCCAGUCCAGAUAUUUUCACAUUUAAUUCUGUCAUUGGAGCCUACGGGAACAAUGGACAAAUUGAGAAGAUGGAGAAAUGGUAUAAUGAAUUUCAGCUAAUGGGAUUGAGCCCAGACAUAAAGACAUUUAAUAUCUUGAUAAGAUCAUAUGGGAAAGCAGGCUUGUAUGAGAAGAUAAAGGCUGUUAUGAAAUUUAUGCAGAGAAGGUUCUUCUCUCCAACCGUUGUUACUUAUAACAUUAUUAUUGAGACUUUUGGAAAGGCUGGUGAUAUUGAGAAGAUGGAUGAGUACUUCAAAAGAAUGAAGCAUCAAGGAAUGAAGCCUAAUGCUGUUACAUACUGUUCUCUUGUUAAUGCUUACAGCAGAGCUGGGCUUAUAAUGAAAGUUGAUUCAAUUUUGAGGCAAGUCGAGAACUCUGAUGUAGUAAUAGAUACCCCAUUCUUUAAUUGCAUCAUCAAUGCCUAUGGUCAGGCUGGUGAUAUCGAAAAGAUGGCUCAGUUAUUUCUGGCUAUGGAGGAAAGAAAAUGCAAGCCUGAUAGUAUCACCUUCGCAACCAUGAUCCAAGCCUAUACUAGCCAAGGAAUGACUGAAGCUGCUCAAGAUUUGGAAAAGAAUAUGAUUACAGUGAAGGAAAAUUCAGGUAUCUUGUGAUUCGUUGUACAUGCUAAUAGUACUAUCUGUUGGUUUCUGAGAAUCUCUCCUUCAACUGGCACACUAGCACUUGGGUUAUUAUGGAAUAAUGAAGCAACCUUUGAAAAUGGACAAUGCAAAUGAAAGAGGUGAGAACAUUGAAAUAAAUUUUCCUUUCUUGUGGCUACUUCUGUUGCAGCUAGCUGUUGUAAGUUGCCCACUUCUCACAAAUUACUUUCAUUAAUGGUGUGCUGGAUAUUACAAUAAUAACCUGUCGAAAGAGUAAACAAAUGGAAAUAAAGGGAGGAAAGUAAAAGAAGUUAAAAACAUAUCCCACAAUGAAAACCUUUUGAUUUGUAGAUAAUGUAACAUCUAAGUAUAUGCAUGUGUGAACGUUGUUUGUAUUAGGUGUUCAUUUUAUGUUGUGCUCAUGUGAAAGUGGGAUUUAAGAAUAUGAAAAAAUUAUUGAAAAUUUUAUCUACGAAUUUACUAUAUUUUGCAGGGAAGUUCAAUAAACAUAAUACCUCCGGCUCAAGGAAAUGCUACUUUUGUGCACAGGGCGCCUAUUUAAUAGGAAUGCCUUUGAUGAAUGGUGGCAAGAUCCCAAAGGGCAGUAAAAAAGAAAAAAUGAAUAAAUAAGUGAUGAGGAAAGGCUUAAUUACUAUUGGAUCUCUAGGCUAGAGAUGCAGGGACAAUGGAAGGACAAAAUGUGAUUCAUGAUUGGUUGAGUUAGUUUGAAGACAUAUUGGCCCAUACAUAGUGGCUUUCAACAAAUCCUGGAUUCUUACAAUCCGACUGUUGGUUUUAAUUCUUACACUUUAAUCUUGGAUGGGCCAGCAACAAAAAAUGAGACAUUUAUUUGGUUUUAGUGACUGUUGGAUGGGCUACGGCCUUGUCAAAGCUAAAGCCUUCCAGAAACCUGCAAUCUUUCAGCUUCUUAAAAUUUUGCAUUUGGUUUUAUGACAUGCAAGUUGCAUUUACUUCUUCUUCUUCUUCUUCUUCUUCUUCUUCUUCUUUCCCUCUUUUUCUUCUUCUUGCCACACAUAUUCAUUAGAAUCAGAUUGUAUUACGUGAUUUUGCAUGCACGUAUUUGUAACAGGGUGAGUAUUGCUUCCUUAAUCAGCCUAUGGUUAACUUGACAAACAUGAUUCAUUUCUCUGAGGAGCCAACAUACUGUUUGAUUCCAUGAUACUUCCAACAUGGACAGAUCCAAUCAGCAUCUUUUGGUUCUGAGAAGCUGUAUCAAGUUUUUGUCUUUCAUAUCCAGAGAGGGUUUUCAGAAUUCAGGAGAUAGGACUGGUGUCGUAUAUGAGGGAACUUUUGGUACGCUAGUAACAAUACUAUGCGCUGCUAUGUAUAAGCAAGGAAUGAACAACUCUUUUGGUGUUAUCCAACUGGUACCUGUGUGAAAUGCAUGGAGUUUGAUGUCUCCGGUAACCAUGUCUCAACGUUUCCAACAUGAGAUCACCUAGCAUCCAUGGACAAGAGGUACUUCCAAGGGACAUCCUUGGUUGAAAAUGUAACUAGUUUGGUGAGCUUUUUGACCUCUAUUCAUUUUGUACAAAGAAAUGGAAAAAUAUGAGAGAAGCAUCGGAAAAAGAUGGGAUUUCAGUGCAGAAUGCAAUAACUAUAUUGAAUAAUAUUUCCCUUUUGGCAAA